GCAGUUGGGGUUGUCACAGUGGAGCCCCACAGCCAGCUUUCUGUAGAUACUGAGGUCUAGAUUGCACCCUAGACCACUGAAAUUAGGAUCCCAUGGAGUAGGCCUUGGGAUUGUAAUUUAUAAGCUCCCCAGGUGACUCUAAUGGUCUGAGCACUGUGGCUCUGCAAGACGCAGGUCAGAACCUGACCUCUGGCUGGGCUGGGCAGGGCAGAGGGUUGCUACUUCCUUGUUUCCCCAUCUCCAGUCCCAGAUGCCUGCAGGUUUCUUUCCUCCCACACAGUUAGAUGUCUGCCUUUGCAUGGUACUGGCGAUAACUCACCCGCUUGGCUAGAGGCCAGACUUUGGAUUCCAGUUUACUCAUAAACGUGGGUAUUGCCUGUACCAUCUGCCUGGGUCUCAGACUGAGGAUGACGAGGAGCAGAGUGGCAGCCAACUCAUAAUAGCAGGGGUUUAAGGUCUGAAGAGAUUAAGGACCAAAGCUUACCUCUGGCCACCUAUUAGUGCCACAACCAUGGAUGCUUCUCAGAUAGGGUGUCUGGUGCAUGAUUUCUGAGGCCAGGCCAUAUAAGGCACCACGACUUCCUCCAUGUCCUCUCUGUCAGCCAGGCAUGAUACCAUGAAGAUACUCAGCCCAUGGAGAGUCCACAGGGGAAGGACUUGAGACCUCCUGCUAACAUUCUGCACUAUGUGAAUUAACUCUCUUGGAAAAGAUUCUCCUGCCCCAGUUGAGCCUUCAGAUGACUGUAGCCCCAGCCAACUUCUUGAUUUAACCUUCAUGAGAAAACCUGAGAUAGAACCUACCUAUCUGAGAUGGUCUUGAAUUCCUGACCCACAGACAUGACAAGAUAAUAAAUGUUUGUUUUAAGCCACUAAGUUUUAGGGUAAUUGACACACAGGACAAGAUAACUAAUCCACAGUCACACUCUUAUUGCUGUUAUUUCUCUUCCUUAGUAACUGACACUUUUCUCUGCUCUUAUCCCAACUUCCAAACAUCUUUGUUUUAUGGAUCCCAUCGAAUAGAUAAAGAAAUUGAUGAGGGAGUUCUUAACGGUUUUGUGAAAACUGAAAUUUGUCCUGUCUGUGUCUUUUUAUCACCCUCAAUUUCAACCAUUGAUUGGGCAUUUGCUAUAUACCAGACAUCUCACUGUGAGCUUUUGAAUACAUAAUUUCACUUAGUCUUUUCACCAUCCCCGUGAAAUUGUUAUCGUUAUUUCCUUUUAUUUUUAAAUGAGAAAAUGGAGGCUCAGAGAGGCAAAGUAAGAUUACAAAAAUCCACGUCCUGUCAGUGACAAAGCUCCAUCUCAUUAGCUACACUCUGGGAGCCAUCUGGUGCUUGGGGAUAAAGGCAGGAAUGGGAGAUGUGAGAGAGCUGAAGGUGUAACCCAGGGUUUCCCAAACUUUAGCAUGCAUGCAAACCACCUGGGGAUGUUGGUACACUGUAGCCUCUGAUUCAGCAGGUCUGGGCUGGGGCCUGGGAUUCUGCAUUUCUAACCAGCAUCCAGGCCAUACCAUUGCAGCUGACCCAAGAUAACACUUUGGUUAGCACAGAUGUAAGAGACCUGAAAUGUGAGAUAAAACUACCAGGGAGAGGCUCUGGCCCCAACCUUACUCCUUGUCGCAAAGCUUUGGAGAUCAGAUUUCUCUGAGCAGUAAGUGCUGACAAAGCUGUAAAAGGAUUGGCACUUGGGAGUUUUGCCUCAUUUUGGAAGCAGUUAGCCAACUACUUUGGUUUAAUCAUCACAGGAAAAUGCAAACAGAGAGAAGACACACAGCCCUCAUCCACCGCAUUGUAUUUCAGGCUGCCAGACCUCUGGACUCUUAGCUUUCACUGAUAUUACACAAUGGAUUUAUAUGUGGAAUAAAUAUUCUUAAAUCUUUAUAAGAUGCCUAAAAUAUUUAUGGCUGUUUUAGUUUGGUUUGCAUGCCAUAUUGCACUCUUACAUUAAGCAGUUUUUGCACCAUCAAGCUUUCCUAUUAAUCAUUUCGGCCUGUUCCCAGCUAUCUAACUGAGGGGAGAUCUAUUACAUUCAGCAACCAGGGCCAAAGGAUCUAAUUUCUUCUUUGGCUGUUUCAUCGAAUGGUUCAUAAAACCAUGGCUAUUAUUGUAUUAGGAAGACACAUUGUGGUUCUCUAGUGUCAUGUUGACAUGUUUAUGUUUCUUUUUCUUAAGAGAAAUCAUGAUUAAAAUGGAAUAUUCUUUCACAGAGGACAUUUUAUAACAAUUUUGGCUUGAUGAAAUUAAAAAAAGGAACAGCCAGUCUCCAGCAAAUGCUGAAGUGGUUGAAUCACUGUCAUUAAAAGAUCAAAACCAUCUUGCUCCUCUCUUCUUUGGCCACGAAAUGAUUUUAAGGAGCUUAAAAAGAAGAUAGUUGCUUUAGUGAGAAUAAUUAUCAGGGGAAGACACCAAGUUAUGGUUUUAUUUUAGGAGGGGAUUUGAGGGCUCAGCAUGGGAGCAUUUGAUGGCAUUACUUCCCUGCCCAAUGAGUGUACAUGUUUUUGAAAAAUAAUUUUCUUGGUGUUUCAGAGUCCAAUUUGAAUCUUGUAACUUUGAAACCAUUCUGAAUUAAUGUUAAAGAAUUGAAAAGAGGAAAAUUGCCUCAAAUAAAUGUUGGUUUUGAUUGAUU
rnacentral:lncRNA from 1 species